AUUGAACGCUGGCGGCAGGCUUAACACAUGCAAGUCGAGCGGGGGAAGGUAGCUUGCUACCGGACCUAGCGGCGGACGGGUGAGUAAUGCUUAGGAAUCUGCCUAUUAGUGGGGGACAACAUCUCGAAAGGGAUGCUAAUACCGCAUACGACCUGAGGGUGAAAGUGGGGGACCGCAAGGCCUCAUGCUAUAGGAGCGGCCGAUGUCUGAUUAGCUAGUUGGUGGGGUAAAGGCCUACCAAGGCGACGAUCAGUAGCUGGUCUGAGAGGACGAUCAGCCACACUGGGACUGAGACACGGCCCAGACUCCUACGGGAGGCAGCAGUGGGGAAUAUUGGACAAUGGGGGGAACCCUGAUCCAGCCAUGCCGCGUGUGUGAAGAAGGCCUUAUGGUCGUAAAGCACUUUAAGCGAGGAGGAGGCUCUUUUGGUUAAUACCCAGAAUGAGUGUACGUUACUCGCAGAAUAAGCACCGGCUAACUCUGUGCCAGCAGCCGCGGUAA
rnacentral:rRNA from 1 species